GACGAACGCUGGCGGCGUGCUUAACACAUGCAAGUCGAACGCUGAAGACCUGGCUUUUGUUGGGUUGGAUGAGUGGCGAACGGGUGAGUAACACGUGAGUAACCUGCCCUCUUCUUUGGGAUAACGCCCGGAAACGGGUGCUAAUACUGGAUAUUCACUGAUCUUCGCAUGGGGGUUGGUGGAAAGGUUUGUUCUGGUGGGGGAUGGGCUCGCGGCCUAUCAGCUUGUUGGUGGGGUGAUGGCCUACCAAGGCUUUGACGGGUAGCCGGCCUGAGAGGGUGACCGGUCACAUUGGGACUGAGAUACGGCCCAGACUCCUACGGGAGGCAGCAGUGGGGAAUAUUGCACAAUGGGCGAAAGCCUGAUGCAGCGACGCCGCGUGAGGGAUGGAGGCCUUCGGGUUGUAAACCUCUUUCGCUCAUGGUCAAGCCGCAACUGUGGGUUGUGGUGAGGGUAGUGGGUAAAGAAACGCCGGCUAACUACGU
rnacentral:rRNA from 1 species